rnacentral:rRNA from 1 species
CCUACGGGAGGCAGCAGUGGGGAAUAUUGGACAAUGGGCGAAAGCCUGAUCCAGCCAUGCCGCGUGUGUGAAGAAUGCCUUCGGGUUGUAAAGCACUUUCAGUGGGGAAGAAAGCCUUGGGGCUAAUACCCUCGAGGAAGGACAUCACCCACAGAAGAAGCACCGGCUAACUCCGUGCCAGCAGCCGCGGUAAUACGGAGGGUGCGAGCGUUAAUCGGAAUUACUGGGCGUAAAGCGCGCGUAGGCGGUCUGAUAAGCCGGUUGUGAAAGCCCCGGGCUCAACCUGGGAACGGCAUCCGGAACUGUCAGGCUAGAGUGCAGGAGAGGAAGGUAGAAUUCCCGGUGUAGCGGUGAAAUGCGUAGAGAUCGGGAGGAAUACCAGUGGCGAAGGCGGCCUUCUGGACUGACACUGACGCUGAGGUGCGAAAGCGUGGGUAGCAAACAGGAUUAGAUACCCCUGUAGUC